UACGUAGGAUGCAAGCGUUGUCCGGAUUUACUGGGCGUAAAGCGCGCGCAGGCGGCACGUCAAGUACCUUAUGAAAUCUCCUUGCUCAACGGGGAGGGUGUGAGGUAGACUGGCGAGCUAGAGUGUGGCAGAGGGGGGUAGAAUUGCUGGUGUAGCGGUGAAAUGCGUAGAGAUCAGCAGGAAUACCCGUGGCGAAGGCGGCCCCCUGGACCACUACUGACGCUGAGGCGCGAAGGCUAGGGGAGCGAACGGG
rnacentral:rRNA from 1 species